ACGCUUAGGGACACGCGUCAUAACGACGAUGUCUCUCUCUCUCUCAUCUCUUUCUCUCUUUCGUAUUCUUUCUCUCAUCUCUAUCGCUCUCACCAAAGGAAGAAGACGAAGGAGAUCGAUUUCGAAGGGGGUAGGUGUGUGAGAGGACAGAGAGGGGGAUCGAUAAGGCGGCAGCCGAUGGGGAGCUAAGAGUAUUCAUCGUCUCUGGCGAUAACAUCGGCUCUCGUCUUAUGUUCUCCCUCAAAAAGCUCUCUCCUUUACUCCUCUGUUUCCAUAGUUGGAGGGAUUUGGCUGUAAUGGGUUUGUGGGAGCUUUUGCCGCAUCUUUAUAAGUUCCGUGUGAAGUUGAAGGAGACUAUUGAUGCUGCAGCUAUGUUUAAGCCACACGUUGUUGUGACUGUUGAUUGAAAGGGCUUCUCUUUUCGUCUACUUAAAGAGUUGAGAGGGCAAGACAGAAUUAAAGAAUGGAGCAUUGGGAGUUUUCUUGUGUCACGGAGUGGAGGAAGUCUUGUAGUUUUCUGUCUUGUUGUCUUGUAGCAUUGGGAGUAAACUAAUAGUUUUCUGUCGUGGAGGAAGUCUUGUAGUUUCCAGUCACGUUUGAUCACACACAUAUUCUCUCAUUCUCAACCAACUGAGAUCAUCUUGUUUAAACAUGUUUUUCAUAAAAUGUUUAAUUCUUUUUUAAGAA